GAGCUGUGAUGAUAUCUGCGCUAGAUGUUGGCAGUUGGGUCUGCCACAAACUUCUGAUUCAUUCUGAGGAAAAGAUGGCGCUGCUGAGCUC